UCACUUCGACCUGAUAAAAGCAUCCUCUGCUUCAAAAAUCAUGAAACCCCCCAUUUACUCUCUCAGAGACUAUGGGGGACCGAGAGCGAGACAGGGACCGGGACCGCGACCGAAACCGUGACAGAGAUCGAGACAGAGAAAGACGCCGGGACAGAGACGACCGUGAUCGUGAUCGGGACCGGGACCGGGACCGGGACCGCGUCCGCAGCAAGAGGUCGCGUACACCGGAGCGCAUCAGACCACGCCACACCCGCUCCCGCACGCGCUCGCCGGACCGGUACCGCUCACGCACUCGCUCAGUCUCCCGCUCUCGCUCUCCGGACGACCGGUCCCACCGUCGGCGCCACCACCACAACCGUAGCCCAUCUGCGGAGGCACGCAAGCGGCAGAAGCGCGAGCCGACCGCCGAGGACGAGAGGGAGAGGCAGAAGGCGGCGGUGGCUGACUUCGUCGAGGGCAUCGCGAAGGAGCAGAAAACUCAGCAGAAGCAGAGCAGCGAUGGCGGUGGUGACGAAGGCCUGGACGAGGACGAGAUUGAGAUGAUGAAGAAAUUUGGGAUUCCGACUGGAUUUGACUCGACGAAAGGGAAGCCCGUGCCUGGCGCCGAUGUGAGCGGCAUUAGGGCGGUCACUAAGCGGCAGCCGAGACAGUAUAUGAAUCGCCGCGGUGGAUUUAAUCGGCCUUUGCCUGCUGAGCGUAAUCGCUAGAUUACUGGGAGGCAAUGGAACUGGAAAGGUGUUGAAUGUGUUGUCUGUUUAGCAAAAUGACGAGGAGGGCCUUCCAGCAUGAGUUGAACCAUGUGGAGAGACUUGGAUACUUGAAAGCCAUCGGUAGGAUGGACCCGAAUCAGUCAGACCGUGUAAGGUUUUCUCUAGUUCAUUGUAUUUUGCAUCCAAUGAUGGAUUCCCAUGAGAUUCAUGUGAUUGACUGAUUCUUAUGUUGGAGGUUUUGAACAAAUUAGUCAUUUGGUUCACCUCUUCGGAGUUGUAUUAGUUGUUAAACGCAACAUUAAUGGGACUAGCUACUUGUAAA